rnacentral:rRNA from 1 species
CCUACGGGUGGCUGCAGUGGGGAAUAUUGGACAAUGGGCGAAAGCCUGAUCCAGCCAUGCCGCGUGUGUGAAGAAGGCCUUCGGGUUGUAAAGCACUUUCAGUGGGGAAGAAAGCCUUGGGGCUAAUACCCUCGAGGAAGGACAUCACCCACAGAAGAAGCACCGGCUAACUCCGUGCCAGCCGCCGCGGUAAUACGGAGGGUGCGAGCGUUAAUCGGAAUUACUGGGCGUAAAGCGCGCGUAGGCGGUCUGAUAAGCCGGUUGUGAAAGCCCCGGGCUCAACCUGGGAACGGCAUCCGGAACUGUCAGGCUAGAGUGCAGGAGAGGAAGGUAGAAUUCCCGGUGUAGCGGUGAAAUGCGUAGAGAUCGGGAGGAAUACCAGUGGCGAAGGCGGCCUUCUGGACUGACACUGACGCUGAGGUGCGAAAGCGUGGGUAGCAAACAGGAUUAGAUACCCCAGUAGUC